UUAUUAACUUAUUCAACCUUGAUUGAAUGCUGAUGUUGUUCCUUAUACUGAUCUUAUAGAUGCCCUGUGCAAGAAUGGAUUAGUGAAAUCUGCUGUAACUUUAUUUGAUGAGAUGACUAAGUAGGGAAUCAAGCCUAAUGUUGUCACUUACAUGGGAACUCAAGAAAAUUACAGUGGCAAGCAGGAAAUUUUGUCCAUCUUAAAUGCUUGCAGUCGCUGAGAUUCCUUUGAAGAUGCUUCGAUUUUAUUGGAGGAGCUUUGAUUAUUUGAUAAUCAGGCGUAUGGUGUAGCACACGUACUUACAAUGGCUUUCGCAAUGUAAUUUUAGAGUCUGAUUCUUUGCUGUUGGUACAAGCUCUCCACUCCAAUCAGCCUGAUCUCUCUUAUUUUGAUUCUAUUGUCACUGAUUGUAAAUUUUCUUCUUAAUUAAUUCUGCUCUAUUUCUUUUACUUGUAAAUCAGUGAAUACUGUUGUCCAUUGCUCAACACAUACAAUUUAGUUUUUAGUCAAAUCUCCGGGAGUGGGUUCCUGCA